AUGAACGCUGGCGGCGUGCCUAAUACAUGCAAGUCGAGCGAACAGAUGAGGAGCUUGCUCCUCUGACGUUAGCGGCGGACGGGUGAGUAACACGUGGAUAACCUACCUAUAAGACUGGGAUAACUUCGGGAAACCGGAGCUAAUACCGGAUAAUAUAUUGAACCGCAUGGUUCAAUAGUGAAAGACGGUUUUGCUGUCACUUAUAGAUGGAUCCGCGCCGCAUUAGCUAGUUGGUAAGGUAACGGCUUACCAAGGCAACGAUGCGUAGCCGACCUGAGAGGGUGAUCGGCCACACUGGAACUGAGACACGGUCCAGACUCCUACGGGAGGCAGCAGUAGGGAAUCUUCCGCAAUGGGCGAAAGCUUGACGGGGCAACGCCGCGUGAGUGAUGAAGGUCUUCGGAUCGUAAAACUCUGUUAUUAGGGAAGAACAAAUGUGUAAGUAACUAUGCGCGUCUUGACGGUACCUAAUCAGAAAGCCACGGCUAACUACGUG
rnacentral:rRNA from 1 species